CGCAGAGGCUCGCGUAUCGGAUUUGAUGAGUUCGUACGAAUUGUCGGGUGUUUUCAGCGCUUUGUCGAGAAUAUUUAGCCUACAAUACUAAGCCAAAGAACUCAGACUCAUCUCUGACUAAGCUGACAGGGUACGGAUUUCACGUUACCGAUUGGAUAACCAACAACAUUCUUCCAACUACUGAUUGUUCCCAGAGCUGCCCAGUCUGUACAGAACAUCAAAUUUUUAAGCAUGCCUCUUGGGUCUCAAUAAAAUUGUGCUCUCAAUAUCUUAGAAA